CCUACGGGAGGCAGCAGUAAGGAAUAUUGGACAAUGCUCGCAAGAGUGAUCCAGCCAUGCCGCGUGCAGGAAGAAUGCCCUAUGGGUAGUAAACUGCUUUUGAACUAGAGAAAAUCCCAGUACGUGUACUGGGCUGAUAGUAUAGUUAGAAUAAGCAUCGGCUAACUUCGUGCCAGCAGCCGCGGUAAGACGAAGGAUGCAAGCGUUAUCCGGAUUCAUUGGGUUUAAAAGGGAGCGUAGGUGGACUGAUAAGUCAGUGGUGAAAUCUCCGAGCUUAACUCGGAAAUUGCCAUUGAUACUGUUGGUCUUGAGUACAGUUGCUGUGGGCGGAAUAUGACAUGUAGUGGUGAAAUACAUAGAGAUGUCAUAGAACACCGAUUGNGAG
rnacentral:rRNA from 1 species